GCAAAAAGUUCUUUUACAAUGAAAAUAAUCAACUAUUUAUAGCAAAAGCUUUAAGCUAGCCGAAUAGUCAUUAGAGAACAUGAAUGGUCAAUUCGUUUCAGCCUUAAUGAACUGAAAGUUAAAGGAAAAUUCCAGGUAGCUUCUUAUGUAUUGGGGACGUCAACAACCAGCUUCUAAAGGCUUGGAAUCUGCUGGAAAGUAAUGAGCUACAUUGGGAGCUGAAUGGGACAAGCUAAGUUCGGCCAACAAUUUGAUGAGCUAUUAAAAUUUGCUUUGAGUAGCUGAAAAAGUCUUGGAAGCUUUAAUGAGAGUUUUGGAGACUCCACCGGCCAUGCAAUGUGAAUUUAUGAAAGAGGAUUUUCACCCUUGCAAUGCACGAAAGGAUGCUUGGAAAAUAGCAACCAGCAGCCCAUUCUCUUUAAUGCAAGUCCUUUUUAAAUACUGCUCAUUCACUCUCUCAAUUGGGUGGCACCUUGAUGACAUUGUAGAGACCGAAUAGGCAUU
rnacentral:lncRNA from 1 species